AACGAACGCUGGCGGCAGGCCUAACACAUGCAAGUCGAGCGCCCCGCAAGGGGAGCGGCGGACGGGUGAGUAACACGUGGGAACGUACCCUUUGCUACGGAAUAGUCUCGGGAAACUGGGGGUAAUACCGUAUGUGCCCUUCGGGGGAAAGGAUUUAUCGGCAAAGGAUCGGCCCGCGUUGGAUUAGGUAGUUGGUGGGGUAAUGGCCUACCAAGCCGACGAUCCAUAGCUGGUUUGAGAGGAUGAUCAGCCACACUGGGACUGAGACACGGCCCAGACUCCUACGGGAGGCAGCAGUGGGGAAUCUUAGACAAUGGGCGCAAGCCUGAUCUAGCCAUGCCGCGUGAGCGAUGAAGGCCUUAGGGUUGUAAAGCUCUUUCAGUGGGAAGGAUAAUGACUGUACCCACAGAAGAAGCCCGGCUAACUCCGUG
rnacentral:rRNA from 1 species